UUUUUCAGCAACGAAAAUAGAACAGCAGAAGUGUGAGUAAAGUAACGAAGUUGGUUAAUUAGGAAUAGAAGAGAUCUGAAGAAGAAGGAGAAGAUGGGUUGGGGUUGGGCAAUAUGGGAGGGAGUGGUAGCGGGGGGAUCUCUGGGACUGCUGGGUUGGGCCGGGUUGUGGUUCUUGAACCGAAGGCUGUACAAAGAGUACGAAGAGAAGAGGGUGUUAGUUCAGAUCAUUUUCAGCGUCGUCUUCGCCUUCUCUUGUAAUCUGUUGCAGCUCGUCCUCUUCGAGAUCAUCCCCCUUCUCUCCCAGAGGGCACGAUGGCUCAACUGGAAGCUCGAUUUGUUUUGCCUCAUACUCUUACUCGUUUUCAUGCUGCCUUACUACCAUUGUUUUCUCAUGCUUUGCAACAAUGGAUUCCGUAAAGAGCGCGCGGCUUUUGGAUCCGCCUUGUUCCUCCUCGCUUUCCUUUAUGCUUUCUGGCGCAUGGGAAUUCACUUCCCCAUGCCUUCCCCUGAUAAAGGCUUCUUCACAAUGCCCCAACUGGUCAGUCGGAUUGGGGUCAUUGGCGUUACCGUCAUGGCUGUCUUGUCUGGCUUUGGAGCUGUCAAUUUGCCCUACAGUUAUUUAUCUCUCUUUAUCAGAGAGAUCGAGGAAGCCGAGAUCAAGUCCUUGGAAAGACAGCUAAUGCAAUCCAUCGAGAGUUGUAUUACUAAGAAAAAGAAAAUCAUUCUUUCUCAGAUGGAGAUGGAAAGGAUUCAAGGAUCAGAAGAGAAAUUAAAGGCUAGAUCUUUCUUUAAAAGAAUUGUUGGCACUGUUGUGCGAUCUGUGCAAGAGGAUCAAAAGGAGCAAGAUAUCAAAAACAUGGAAGCAGAAGUGCAAUCAUUAGAAGAGCUUUCAAAGCAGCUAUUCCUGGAAAUAUAUGAGCUUCGUCAAGCAAAGGAGGCUGCUGCUUAUUCUCGUACCUGGAGAGGUCAUAUGCAGAAUCUACUUGGCUAUGCAUGUUCAAUCUACUGUGUAUAUAAAAUGAUUAAGUCUUUGCAGAGUGUUGUUUUCAAGGAGGCUGGCUCUGUGGAUCCUGUGACAAUGACAAUUAGCAUAUUUCUGCAGUUUUUUGACAUUGGCAUCAAUGCAGCAUUAUUAUCACAGUAUAUUUCACUCUUGUUCAUUGGAAUGUUGAUUGUUAUAUCAGUACGGGGAUUCUUGACAAAUUUGAUGAAGUUCUUUUUUGCAGUUUCCAGAGUUGGAAGUGGAUCUUCUAGCAAUGUCGUAUUGUUUCUGUCGGAAAUUAUGGGAAUGUACUUUGUGUCAUCUAUUCUUUUGAUCAGAAAAAGCUUGGCAACUGAGUACAGGAUGAUCAUAACAGAUGUUUUGGGUGGAGAUAUUCAAUUUGACUUCUACCACCGGUGGUUUGAUGCUAUCUUUGUGGCCAGUGCUUUCCUUUCUCUGCUCUUGCUUUCUGCACAUUAUACUUCUCGGCAGGCUGACAAACACCCGAUCGAUUAAUGUAAUUUAAUGCCAACCUGCUCCCUUGCAAACUUCCAAUAAGGAUUAGCUGGAAGAGUUUGGCACUUGUGUAUGAAAAGCAACAAUAUCCAGCAGCUUUGAUCAACCUUACUGUGUGGAGAUGAGGAAGAAAGCCAAUAGUUUUUUGGGGUUGGAAAGGGAAUCCAAGUUGUCCAACACAGUAGUGCUGUUAACUUAGCUUACAGUGAUUGUAACGAUGUAUGGUCACACAUAGCAGUGGUGAACUUCCACAGCGGUUGGUGGUGCUUGUUACCAGAAGUCUUUUACAGUGGUAUAAUGCAGCCUAGAUGGCUUACAAAACCUGAAUGGUUUCCGACAGAGGAUCCUGGAGGAAGAAGACCGAGAGCAGUGUGGUGUUAAAUAAACCAUAAAAUGUUGCUCAUCAAGACUCAAUUGUACAGGAAUUAUUAGGUGAAUCUAAUAUGCCAGCUACUUUGUCAAAAGGAUAAAAAACUAUACUAAAAGAGAAAAGAGUUUGCUUGCCAUGUUUGGAUUCUCAGCCUGUCCAUCUCUCAGCUCGGAACUCUUUAUGGGCUCUGGAUUUAGCCACCUUUUAAGACUUUUUCCUCCUGUAUGGCUCUAUUGCGGUUUCAACUAAUAUCUCUUCAUGAGGGUGUAAUAUUUUCUUCGCAUCUCAAAGAAAUUUCAUGAAGCGAUACGAGUUGGCAUAAACAAUGUUGUGGAGAUACUUCAAUAAUGUCAUUGUUUCUUUCCUUUUCAUUUCACAUU